GUCCCUGCAGCGCAAUGAAUAGCGCUUUGGGCCUCUAAUCCAAAGCUCUUGGGUUCGAAUCCCAUCUGGGAUU
rnacentral:tRNA from 1 species